CUGAAACCAAACCAACUUUUUGUGUCGUUCUGCUUUCAGGAGCUGAUUGCCAUCGGCCUGUGUAACUUCAUCAGCUCUUUCUUCCAAACUUUCGCCAUCACCUGCUCCAUGUCAAGGAGCCUGGUGCAGGAGAGCACUGGUGGAAAAACACAGAUUGCAGGGCUGCUGGCGUCUCUCAUGGUGCUGCUGGUGGUGGUAGCCAUUGGUUUUGUCUUCCAGCCGCUCCCUCAGACUGCACUGGCUGCAAUCAUCAUGGUGAAUCUGUUGGGGAUGUUCAAACAGUUCAGAGACAUUCCUGCUCUGUGGAGGACGAGCAAGAUCGAACUGGUA